AUGGCGGCAACAACUUCAUCUCCUUCGAAAUCCCAAAUCCUGUCGCUCCUCCGCACCUUCAUACGACUAUCUCGUCAGUUUCCCGAUUACAACAUUAGGGAAUACACUAAACGACGUGCCGUCGAUGCGUUUCGUGAAAACGCAACGCUUUCUGAAGCUUCUUCAGUUUCCGAAGCUUUUGAAUUCGGAAAGUCUCAGCUUGAAGUGGCGAAACGACAGGCCGUUGUUUACUCUCUUUAUGUUCCUCCUCUUCCCAGUGUUAUGGAGAUUCAGAGUAAACCCUUUUAA